rnacentral:lncRNA from 1 species
CUGUGAUGUGGAGGCCAUAGCGCCACUGGACUCAUGAGGAGACUGAGGCUCAGAGCAAUGAAGUGACCUGCUCAAAGUUAAGGAGCUUCAGUGAGGACCCAAUUUGUUCUGAUCCUAAGGUCACUAUCCUUAAUCCCUCUCCCUGUGGGGUCUUCCCUAUCUUGAGCCAGUGGACAGCUGUGCAGUGGCAAGAAAAAGGCCUUCAGAGCUACGCAAACCUGGCUUCAAAUCCCAGCCUCCCUGAUGAGCCCUGGUGGUCUUGCAUGCUUGCCCUUGGGACUCAGACACCAUAUUGUGAGGAAGCCCAAGCUACAUGCAGAGGCCACUAUAGUUGUUCUGGCCAACAGCCCAAGCUUCAGCUGCCAGACAUAUAAAUAAACCAACUCUUCAAAUGAUUUCAGUUUCCAGACUUCAAUGCAUCCCAGGUAAUGUCCAGAGGAGCAGAGAUGAACCAUCCUCUCUGAGCCCUGCCCAAAUGCAGACUUGAGAACAAACUAAAUGUCAUUGUCUCAAGCCACCAAUUUUCAGGGUGGCUUGGUACACAGCACCAGGUAACAGGAAUAGCCCCCCUCUUCCUCUGCAGCUCUCCCCAGGUACAGGCAAGCUCCCCAACCCAUGCUUCAUCCCCACCCCACAGACAGAACCUGGAGUCAGUCCUCCCACCCACAACUGUGCCUUCCAAACUAAGCUCAAAGCCCAGCUCUGUUGCUUUCAGAUGGGUGCCCUAGGGCAAGUCACCAACCCUAUAUGACAAAUCCCUCUGUGUCAAAUGGGAAUUAUAAUAAUGCCCCUGAGGAGUCUUGGAGAGAUUUAAUAAAGUGCCUGGAACAU